ensembl:lncRNA
CCACCCCCAAGAACCCCACAAUGCACCAACAACCAAGAGAAUGAACUGAAGAGAUAAAAGAGAAAGACAGAAAACAGAAAACAACAAUGCAAAUAAAUAAAUAAUAGUAAUCCAUUUAAAACAAAGGACAUCAAGGACAACUGAAAUCAUAACAACAAUGGCAACUGUAAAUGUUUAUGUGCAUGUCUGGCAAUAUUACAUGUAUGUGUGUAUUCUUGUAUGCGUUCAUUUGAAUGAGAGUGUGUGUAUAUGCAUGUGUACAAACACCUGCACGGCAUCAGCCUCAGGCAAACCGGCAUUAGUUGUAAAAACACUGUCCCUUAGUGUCAUUCAAAUGUACUUUUAUUAUGUUUUAUUUUGACUUUUAUCUUUGACCAUCAUUCUAUCACCCCCACCGCAACUCCACUCCCACUUGUCUCCAAUCCAACAUCCUAACCCUCAGCUUCCCUCAGCCCAUCCCAUCAUUCUAUCACCCCCACCGCAACUCCACUCCCACUUGUCUCCAAUCCAACAUCCUAACCCUCAGCUUCCCUCAGCCCAUCCCAUCAUUCUAACUCCACUCCCACUUGUCUCCAAUCCCACAUCCUAACCCUCAGCCCAUCCCAUCAUUCUAUCUCCCCCACAGCAACUCCACUCCCAGUUGUCUCCAAUCCCACAUCCUAACCCUCAGCUUCCCUCAGCCCAUCCCAUCAUUCUAUCUCCCACACAUCAACUCCACUCCCACUUGUCUCCAAUCCCACAUCCUAACCCUCAGCCCAUCCCAUCAUUCUAUCUCCCACACAUCAACUCCACUCCCACUUGUCUCCAAUCCCACAUCCUAACCCUCAGCCCAUCCCAUCAUUCUAUCUCCCACACAUCAACUCCACUCCCACUUGUCUCCAAUCCCACAUCCUAACCCUCAGCUUCCCUCAGCCCAUCCCAUCAUUCUAUCUCCCACACAUCAACUCCACUCCCACUUGUCUCCAAUCCCACAUCCUAACCCUCAGCCCAUCCCAUCAUUCUAUCUCCCACACAUCAACUCCACUCCCACAUCCUAACCCUCAGCCCAUCCCAUCAUUCUAUCUCCCACACAUCAACUCCACUCCCACUUGUCUCCAAUCCCACAUCCUAACCCUCAGCUUCCCUCAGCCCAUCCCAUCAUUCUAUCUCCCACACAUCAACUCCACUCCCAGUUGUCUCCAAUCCCACAUCCUAACCCUCAGCUUCCCUCAGCCCAUCCCAUCAUUCUAUCUCCCACACAUCAACUCCACUCCCAGUUGUCUCCAAUCCCACAUCCUAACCCUCAGCUUCCCUCAGCCCAUCCCAUCAUUCUAUCACCCCCACCGCAACUCCACUCCCACUUGUCUCCAAUCCCACAUCCUAACCCUCAGCUUCCCUCAGCCCAUCCCAUCAUUCUAUCACCCCCACCGCAACUCCACUCCCACUUGUCUCCAAUCCCACAUCCUAACCCUCAGCUUCCCUCAGCCCAUCCCAUCAUUCUAUCUCCCACACAUCAACUCCACUCCCAGUUGUCUCCAAUCCCACAUCCUAACCCUCAGCUUCCCUCAGCCCAUCCCAUCAUUCUAUCUCCCACACAUCAACUCCACUCCCAGUUGUCUCCAAUCCCACAUCCUAACCCUCAGCUUCCCUCAGCCCAUCCCAUCAUUCUAUCACCCCCACCGCAACUCCACUCCCACUUGUCUCCAAUCCCACAUCCUAACCCUCAGCUUCCCUCAGCUCAUCCCAUCAUUCUAUCACCCCCACCGCAACUCCACUCCCACUUGUCUCCAAUCCCACAUCCUAACCCUCAGCUUCCCUCAGCCCAUCCCAUCAUUCUAUCACCCCCACCGCAACUCCACUCCCACUUGUCUCCAAUCCCACAUCCUAACCCUCAGCUUCCCUCAGCCCAUCCCAUCAUUCUAUCACCCCCACCGCAACUCCACUCCCACUUGUCUCCAAUCCCACAUCCUAACCCUCAGCUUCCCUCAGCCCAUCCCAUCAUUCUAUCACCCCCACCGCAACUCCACUCCCACUUGUCUCCAAUCCCACAUCCUAACCCUCAGCUUCCCUCAGCCCAUCCCAUCAUUCUAUCACCCCCACCGCAACUCCACUCCCACUUGUCUCCAAUCCCACAUCCUAACCCUCAGCUUCCCUCAGCCCAUCCCAUCAUUCUAUCUCCCACACAUCAACUCCACUCCCAGUUGUCUCCAAUCCCACAUCCUAACCCUCAGCUUCCCUCAGCCCAUCCCAUCAUUCUAUCUCCCACACAUCAACUCCACUCCCAGUUGUCUCCAAUCCCACAUCCUAACCCUCAGCUUCCCUCAGCCCAUCCCAUCAUUCUAUCACCCCCACCGCAACUCCACUCCCACUUGUCUCCAAUCCCACAUCCUAACCCUCAGCUUCCCUCAGCUCAUCCCAUCAUUCUAUCACCCCCACCGCAACUCCACUCCCACUUGUCUCCAAUCCCACAUCCUAACCCUCAGCUUCCCUCAGCCCAUCCCAUCAUUCUAUCACCCCCACCGCAACUCCACUCCCACUUGUCUCCAAUCCCACAUCCUAACCCUCAGCUUCCCUCAGCCCAUCCCAUCAUUCUAUCACCCCCCACCGCAACUCCACUCCCACUUGUCUCCAAUCCCACAUCCUAACCCUCAGCUUCCCUCAGCCCAUCCCAUCAUUCUAUCACCCCCACCGCAACUCCACUCCCACUUGUCUCCAAUCCCACAUCCUAACCCUCAGCUUCCCUCAGCCCAUCCCAUCAUUCUAUCUCCCACACAUCAACUCCACUCCCACUUGUCUCCAAUCCAACAUCCUAACCCUCAGCUUCCCUCAGCCCAUCCCAUCAUUCUAUCUCCCACACAUCAACUCCACUCCCACUUGUCUCCAAUCCCACAUCCUAACCCUCAGCUUCCCUCAGCCCAUCCCAUCAUUCUAUCUCCCACACAUCAACUCCACUCCCACUUGUCUCCAAUCCCACAUCCUAACCCUCAGCUUCCCUCAGCCCAUCCCAUCAUUCUAUCUCCCACACAUCAACUCCACUCCCAGUUGUCUCCAAUCCCACAUCCUAACCCUCAGCUUCCCUCAGCCCAUCCCAUCAUUCUAUCACCCCCACCGCAACUCCACUCCCACUUGUCUCCAAUCCCACAUCCUAACCCUCAGCUUCCCUCAGCCCAUCCCAUCAUUCUAUCACCCCCACCGCAACUCCACUCCCACUUGUCUCCAAUCCCACAUCCUAACCCUCAGCUUCCCUCAGCCCAUCCCAUCAUUCUAUCACCCCCACCGCAACUCCACUCCCACUUGUCUCCAAUCCCACAUCCUAACCCUCAGCUUCCCUCAGCCCAUCCCAUCAUUCUAUCACCCCCACCGCAACUCCACUCCCACUUGUCUCCAAUCCCACAUCCUAACCCUCAGCUUCCCUCAGCCCAUCCCAUCAUUCUAUCUCCCACACAUCAACUCCACUCCCACUUGUCUCCAAUCCAACAUCCUAACCCUCAGCUUCCCUCAGCCCAUCCCAUCAUUCUAUCUCCCACACAUCAACUCCACUCCCACUUGUCUCCAAUCCCACAUCCUAACCCUCAGCUUCCCUCAGCCCAUCCCAUCAUUCUAUCUCCCACACAUCAACUCCACUCCCACUUGUCUCCAAUCCCACAUCCUAACCCUCAGCUUCCCUCAGCCCAUCCCAUCAUUCUAUCUCCCACACAUCAACUCCACUCCCAGUUGUCUCCAAUCCCACAUCCUAACCCUCAGCUUCCCUCAGCCCAUCCCAUCAUUCUAUCACCCCCACCGCAACUCCACUCCCACUUGUCUCCAAUCCCACAUCCUAACCCUCAGCUUCCCUCAGCUCAUCCCAUCAUUCUAUCACCCCCACCGCAACUCCACUCCCACUUGUCUCCAAUCCCACAUCCUAACCCUCAGCUUCCCUCAGCCCAUCCCAUCAUUCUAUCACCCCCACCGCAACUCCACUCCCACUUGUCUCCAAUCCCACAUCCUAACCCUCAGCUUCCCUCAGCCCAUCCCAUCAUUCUAUCACCCCCACCGCAACUCCACUCCCACUUGUCUCCAAUCCCACAUCCUAACCCUCAGCUUCCCUCAGCCCAUCCCAUCAUUCUAUCACCCCCACCGCAACUCCACUCCCACUUGUCUCCAAUCCCACAUCCUAACCCUCAGCUUCCCUCAGCCCAUCCCAUCAUUCUAUCUCCCACACAUCAACUCCACUCCCACUUGUCUCCAAUCCAACAUCCUAACCCUCAGCUUCCCUCAGCCCAUCCCAUCAUUCUAUCUCCCACACAUCAACUCCACUCCCACUUGUCUCCAAUCCCACAUCCUAACCCUCAGCUUCCCUCAGCCCAUCCCAUCAUUCUAUCUCCCACACAUCAACUCCACUCCCACUUGUCUCCAAUCCCACAUCCUAACCCUCAGCUUCCCUCAGCCCAUCCCAUCAUUCUAUCUCCCACACAUCAACUCCACUCCCACUUGUCUCCAAUCCCACAUCCUAACCCUCAGCUUCCCUCAGCCCAUCCCAUCAUUCUAUCUCCCACACAUCAACUCCACUCCCACUUGUCUCCAAUCCCACAUCCUAACCCUCAGCUUCCCUCAGCCCAUCCCAUCAUUCUAUCUCCCACACAUCAACUCCACUCCCACUUGUCUCCAAUCCCACAUCCUAACCCUCAGCUUCCCUCAGCCCAUCCCAUCAUUCUAUCUCCCACACAUCAACUCCACUCCCACUUGUCUCCAAUCCCACAUCCUAACCCUCAGCCCAUCCCAUCAUUCUAUCUCCCACACAUCAACUCCACUCCCACUUGUCUCCAAUCCCACAUCCUAACCCUCAGCUUCCCUCAGCCCAUCCCAUCAUUCUAUCUCCCACACAUCAACUCCACUCCCACUUGUCUCCAAUCCCACAUCCUAACCCUCAGCCCAUCCCAUCAUUCUAUCUCCCACACAUCAACUCCACUCCCACAUCCUAACCCUCAGCCCAUCCCAUCAUUCUAUCUCCCACACAUCAACUCCACUCCCACUUGUCUCCAAUCCCACAUCCUAACCCUCAGCUUCCCUCAGCCCAUCCCAUCAUUCUAUCUCCCGCACAGCAACUCCACUCCCACUUGUCUCCAAUCCCACAUCCUAACCCUCAGCUUCCCUCAGCCCAUCCCAUCUAUCUCUGCUGGCCACCCACUUCGGGUUUCUAUGCAACACAUAUCUUUCAACUAUGCUGUGAUGUUUAACGUACAAUUUCAAUCUAUCUAAUCGAAUAGAAUCCACAGAAUGCGAUCUCAUAACAGUACUAUUUCUAGGGUCAAUUUUAGAUCAAUGCUAUGCAUUUUCAGCCAUUCCUGAACCUGAGACCAGAAACAGGCUACCUGAGGGCAAUACCAAAAUAAAUGGUCUAUUGAUUCUGUAUCCUCACAAAAAAAUCUACAGAGCUUCCAUGAUUAUAUGCCCCAAAUAUUCAACAUUUUGUUCGUGGCAAGAACUCUAUAUAAUAAUUUUAGUUGAAAAGCACGAAGUCUUGAAUCUUGCAUUGUUUUAUAUAUCAUCAACUCAUACACCCUGU